rnacentral:rRNA from 1 species
AGUUUGAUCCUGGCUCAGAUUGAACGCUGGCGGCAGGCCUAACACAUGCAAGUCGAACGGUAACAGGAAGAAGCUUGCUUCUUUGCUGACGAGUGGCGGACGGGUGAGUAAUGUCUGGGAAACUGCCUGAUGGAGGGGGAUAACUACUGGAAACGGUAGCUAAUACCGCAUAACGUCGCAAGACCAAAGAGGGGGACCUUCGGGCCUCUUGCCAUCGGAUGUGCCCAGAUGGGAUUAGCUUGUUGGUGGGGUAACGGCUCACCAAGGCGACGAUCCCUAGCUGGUCUGAGAGGAUGACCAGCCACACUGGAACUGAGACACGGUCCAGACUCCUACGGGAGGCAGCAGUGGGGAAUAUUGCACAAUGGGCGCAAGCCUGAUGCAGCCAUGCCGCGUGUAUGAAGAAGGCCUUCGGGUUGUAAAGUACUUUCAGCGGGGAGGAAGGGAGUAAAGUUAAUACCUUUGCUCAUUGACGUUGCCCGCAGAAGAAGCACCGGCUAACUCCGUGCCAGCAGCCGCGGUAAUACGGAGGGUGCAAGCGUUAAUCGGAAUUACUGGGCGUAAAGCGCACGCAGGCGGUUUGUUAAGUCAGAUGUGAAAUCCCCGGGCUCAACCUGGGAACUGCAUCUGAUACUGGCAAGCUUGAGUCUCGUAGAGGGGGGUAGAAUUCCAGGUGUAGCGGUGAAAUGCGUAGAGAUCUGGAGGAAUACCGGUGGCGAAGGCGGCCCCCUGGACGAAGACUGACGCUCAGGUGCGAAAACGUGGGGAGCAAACAGGAUUAGAUACCCUGGUAGUCCACGCCGUAAACGAUGUCGAUUUGGAGGUUGUGCCCUUGAGGCGUGGCUUCCGGAGCUAACGCGUUAAAUCGACCGCCUGGGGAGUACGGCCGCAAGGUUAAAACUCAAAUGAAUUGACGGGGGCCCGCACAAGCGGUGGAGCAUGUGGUUUAAUUCGAUGCAACGCGAAGAACCUUACCUGGUCUUGACAUCCACAGAACUUUCCAGAGAUGGAUUGGUGCCUUCGGGAACUGUGAGACAGGUGCUGCAUGGCUGUCGUCAGCUCGUGUUGUGAAAUGUUGGGUUAAGUCCCGCAACGAGCGCAACCCUUAUCCUUUGUUGCCAGCGGUUCGGCCGGGAACUCAAAGGAGACUGCCAGUGAUAAACUGGAGGAAGGUGGAGAUGACGUCAAGUCAUCAUGGCCCUUACGACCAGGGCUACACACGUGCUACAAUGGCAUAUACAAAGAGAAGCGACCUCGCGAGAGCAAGCGGACCUCAUAAAGUAUGUCGUAGUCCGGAUUGGAGUCUGCAACUCGACUCCAUGAAGUCGGAAUCGCUAGUAAUCGUAGAUCAGAAUGCUACGGUGAAUACGUUCCCGGGCCUUGCACACACCGCCCGUC